ACGAGAAUGAAAACUAACAAGGUCUCCGUUGGUGAACCAGCGGAGGGAUCAUUACCAGAGUGCCCUAGGCUCUCCAACCCAUUGUGAACUUACCAAACGUUCCCUCGGCGGGCUCAGCGCGCGGCGGCCUCCGGGCCUCCGGGCGUCCGCCGGGGAAAACCAAACCCUGAUUUAAUCGUAUUUCUCUGAGGGGCGAAAGCCCGAAAACAAAAUGAAUCAAAACUUUCAACAACGGAUCUCUUGGCUCUGGCAUCGAUGAAGAACGCAGCGAAAUGCGAUAAGUAAUGUGAAUUGCAGAAUUCAGUGAAUCAUCGAAUCUUUGAACGCACAUUGCGCCCGCCGGCACUCCGGCGGGCAUGCCUGUCCGAGCGUCAUUUCAACCCUCAGGCCCACCCUUCCGGGGGAGCGGGCCUGGUGCUGGGGAUCGGCGGCCCUCGCGGCCCCCGUCCCUCAAAUUCAGUGGCGGUCGCGCCGCAGCCUCCCCUGCGUAGUAGCACAACCUCGCACCGGAGAGCGGAACGACCACGCCGUGAAACCCCCAAUUUUCAAGGUGACCUCGGAUCAGUAG
rnacentral:rRNA from 1 species